rnacentral:rRNA from 1 species
GGGGCCUUCCAGUUACUCCAAACCCCUGUGACAUACCACUUGUUGCCUCGGCGGAUCAGCCCGCUCCCGGUAAAACGGGACGGCCCGCCAGAGGACCCCUAAACUCUGUUUCUAUAUGUAACUUCUGAGUAAAACCAUAAAUAAAUCAAAACUUUCAACAACGGAUCUCUUGGUUCUGGCAUCGAUGAAGAACGCAGCAAAAUGCGAUAAGUAAUGUGAAUUGCAGAAUUCAGUGAAUCAUCGAAUCUUUGAACGCACAUUGCGCCCGCCAGUAUUCUGGCGGGCAUGCCUGUUCGAGCGUCAUUUCAACCCUCAAGCACAGCUUGGUGUUGGGACUCGCGUUAAUUCGCGUUCCUCAAAUUGAUUGGCGGUCACGUCGAGCUUCCAUAGCGUAGUAGUAAAACCCUCGUUACUGGUAAUCGUCGCGGCCACGCCGUUAAACCCCAACUUCUGAAUGUUGACCUCGGAUCAGGUAGGAAUACCCGCUGAACUUAAGCAUAUCAAUAAGCGGAGGA